rnacentral:tRNA from 1 species
GGGGAUGUGGCGGAACUGGUAGACGCGCACGCUUCAGGAGCGUGUGAGAGCAACCUCCUGGGAGUUCGAAUCUCCCCAUCCCCA